rnacentral:lncRNA from 1 species
GUUCUACAUGGGGAGUUUGGGAUGUUUCCCCCCCCCCCGGUUACUGUCUGUCUGGUCCCUGACAGUGCCGAUCUGAGGGCAGAAGGACACACAGCCGGGCGCCAUGCCUCGUGCCAGCCUUAAGAGCAAUAUGGGACAAGUUGGUGCUUGCAGCGAUGCACGCUGGGACAUACCCAACAUGCUUCAAAGGACUGAGCGCAUUGCACGGACCAGACGUGGCUCAGGUUCUGCUCUUCUAACCGUGACUUACCAGGGCAGCUGAAGGGCACUUUUACUGAUCCUCAGUGGAAAUAUUGGUGAAGCCAGCUGGGUGCCCUGCACACCACGGUCAUUUCGGCACGGACACCUGGGAGCCGCAGAGUCUUUUACAGCCACGUCGUGCUGGCAGCGCGUGGCAGAGGCCGCCGGAGCAGCUCGGCUCUGCCGUGGUGCCCCAGCCUGGUGCAGCCGCGGACGGACCACGCGUAUCCCACGUCUGGGGCGGUACCCAGCAGGUUUGGGUACUUACCCAGGACAGCACCAGUGCAUUUCCAGGCUCGGUUUCCAGAGCCAUCAGCAUCCAUCCUGUUGGACAGACUGCCAGGAUUUCGGCGGGCAGCGCAUACCUGGCAUCUCGUGGUCUGUUACGGAUUUGGCUAUUUAUAUCGCUGCUUUCGCGGGAGCUGAACUCAGCAGUGACUCCUUAUGUCUGACCCCAGAGAGUUACUCAUCAAAGCACGUUAUACACUUACAAAUUAAACAAAUGCUAUUUUAAAGCCCAGUCUGGCAAACACUCAGCAGCCAGUUUGGUACUUAUCACUAGGAUUAUUCGAAGUGCCUUCAAGAUCACUUCCUG